rnacentral:lncRNA from 1 species
AUAUUAUAAAAAGUGCCUCAGAAUUAUAUAGGUACAAGAUUUCCAUUGCUUUUUGGAUUUCUGUUACGACUCCUUUGGAAAAUACAGUUUGCUCCUGGAUAGUGAACUCCUAUAACUUUUUACAAAUUCAGCAAAGAGCAAAGAAAGGAAAGACUGGUGAAUGUGAGGAGGAACAUCCAACCUUGUUCUGAGGGAGAGAUUUCACAAGCUGCCAAAGUGGCCCAGAGGAUUUAAGGGGAAGAGACGUCCCAAGGAAGCCCUAAGCCCUCCAGUUGUUUGAAGCUGAGGAUGCACUCUGGGAGACCUGACUGUUGAAAAAGUAUUGCAGGAUCUCAGUUGACUCCUGCUAUCUCGAGCUGAAUCCUAGAGGAGAAAGAAGACGUGUUUUGAGGAUGUGGUAGGAAAGAAGGCAAGCUUUACGAGAAGGGACAGCAGGAGCCGCAGAGGAGAAAUGUGACUCGAGAGAAACGUGCAAGGAUAAAGUACAAGAUUAUGGAAAGACAAACUUUCUUGCUUCUUUCUGAUGACAAAAAGGUGAGUGAGUCAUUUGCUCAAACACCAGCCUAGAAAUUUGAUCUCGUGCAUCCUUGAAUAGGAAGCCUCAGCCGGGCAGCCCUCCAGCUGGUAAGAGGAUCUCCAAGGCGCAUGAUGAAAAGGGCAGGCUGAACCUGCAGCCCUCCCUUCCUCCUCUCUCUGGUUUCUGGCAGCCUUUCUGCACACAGAUCAUCCUUUACUGGUAUUCUGCCUGCAAAUGGGCUAUUCCCUUUUGGCUCACUACCAUUCGGAUCAGAACCCUGAGCCUCCGUGGAGAUGUGAACCAGGCAGGUCUGGCUCAGCUUCACUUUACGACACAAAGGAAUGUGACCUUUAUGCUCCUUGGGAAUGGUUUGUGUCGCUGACUGGGCCCCAAGAUCAAGGUCAUCCAUGUGAUUCCUGGAAAGAGAUGCAGAGUGGGCAUCCCUGGUCUGGGCCAGGUGCCUCAAAUCACAGCAUUUUAGAAUAGGAAACGUGUGCUGUGGUUCUUGAGAAGGACUAGACAAGUGAGGAAGGUUGCCGUGAUGCAUGCAAACAUUUGCACUAGGGAGAAGGGGUGAAGGUGUGAAGGUGUGUGUCUUUAGCUGGGCCACCUUGUUCAGCUGGGUCACCCGCACAAAAGUAGCUCAGCAGCACAAGUAUUAGAAAUCAGACAAGGCCCAGUGCGUGAGAGGCCAGGCUCCUCCCCGGGAGUGCGAGUCCCCGUCACUUCCCCUCGCAGAGGCAGGGAAGUCCUUUCUACUUUACAUUUCCAUCGUGAUAAUUACACAAUUGGAAAAGAACUCAGAUGAAGGAAACUCUGUAGCUUCCCUGGUGAGGUAAAGAGGAGUGUAGCCAAUGUCAGAACAAGAGCAACAUUUCCUGUAUACCCUCCUGAAUCAUCGUAUAAUAGGCUUCUGACAUGCAGAAAGCCCUGAAGAAAUGUAGCAGAGAAGGAAGUGAAUGAGCCAAAUGCAUUGGCUCAGUGCCCAAGGAACACCCUACUUUGAGGAUAAAAUUGCACCUCUUGUGCCAACAGUUCAGGCAAGGGAAGCUACACAAAUAAUGCUUGGAAUUCAGCGGCAGGACAAGCCAAAAUAGGUCUUGUAGGCUUUUUUUUUUCUCCAAUGGUCUCUAAGAUUGCUCUCUUGCAUGGUUUGUUUGCUUACUUGCUUUAGCUCAGGUGAUGAGAUGAGGGGGUAAACAACCCGCCCUCUUGUUCUGAGGAGCAUCUGUUUAGAUGACACAGAGGGAUGUCAUCCAGGUAAAAGAGGGUGUGGAACCCUGCUACCUCAUACCUCCCUCCUGUGUAAAUGAAAAGCCAAAGGCUACUGGAAAAAGUCAUUUGUGGCCAGCUCUUGGGGGAGAGAAGUAAUUUCAUACUGAGAAAGUCACACUCCAAAUUUUAACCUAGUGCUCUUUCCUGCUCUUACUCAUAAAGUGAUUCACAUGACUUUUAGGAGCUUUGGCCUCUUCAGAAUGAAGGAACUAGCAAGCCAGUGGCCACCUGAUGGACUUACACAACAUGGCUUAUUCUGGAGGAAAGGGAAGUCAGAGUGGGGAUCAUUUAUUU